rnacentral:rRNA from 1 species
GGGACACGUGGUAUCCUGUCUGAAUAUGGGGGGACCAUCCUCCAAGGCUAAAUACUCCUGACUGACCGAUAGUGAACCAGUACCGUGAGGGAAAGGCGAAAAGAACCCCGGCGAGGGGAGUGAAAAAGAACCUGAAACCGUGUACGUACAAGCAGUGGGAGCACGCUUAGGCGUGUGACUGCGUACCUUUUGUAUAAUGGGUCAGCGACUUAUAUUCUGUAGCAAGGUUAACCGAAUAGGGGAGCCGAAGGGAAACCGAGUCUUAACUGGGCGUUAAGUUGCAGGGUAUAGACCCGAAACCCGGUGAUCUAGCCAUGGGCAGGUUGAAGGUUGGGUAACACUAACUGGAGGACCGAACCGACUAAUGUUGAAAAAUUAGCGGAUGACUUGUGGCUGGGGGUGAAAGGCCAAUCAAACCGGGAGAUAGCUGGUUCUCCCCGAAAGCUAUUUAGGUAGCGCCUCGUGAAUUCAUCUCCGGGGGUAGAGCACUGUUUCGGCAAGGGGGUCAUCCCGACUUACCAACCCGAUGCAAACUGCGAAUACCGGAGAAUGUUAUCACGGGAGACACACGGCGGGUGCUAACGUCCGUCGUGAAGAGGGAAACAACCCAGACCGCCAGCUAAGGUCCCAAAGUCAUGGUUAAGUGGGAAACGAUGUGGGAAGGCCCAGACAGCCAGGAUGUUGGCUUAGAAGCAGCCAUCAUUUAAAGAAAGCGUAAUAGCUCACUGGUCGAGUCGGCCUGCGCGGAAGAUGUAACGGGGCUAAACCAUGCACCGAAGCUGCGGCAGCGACGCUUAUGCGUUGUUGGGUAGGGGAGCGUUCUGUAAGCCUGCGAAGGUGUGCUGUGAGGCAUGCUGGAGGUAUCAGAAGUGCGAAUGCUGACAUAAGUAACGAUAAAGCGGGUGAAAAGCCCGCUCGCCGGAAGACCAAGGGUUCCUGUCCAACGUUAAUCGGGGCAGGGUGAGUCGACCCCUAAGGCGAGGCCGAAAGGCGUAGUCGAUGGGAAACAGGUUAAUAUUCCUGUACUUGGUGUUACUGCGAAGGGGGGACGGAGAAGGCUAUGUUGGCCGGGCGACGGUUGUCCCGGUUUAAGCGUGUAGGCUGGUUUUCCAGGCAAAUCCGGAAAAUCAAGGCUGAGGCGUGAUGACGAGGCACUACGGUGCUGAAGCAACAAAUGCCCUGCUUCCAGGAAAAGCCUCUAAGCAUCAGGUAACAUCAAAUCGUACCCCAAACCGACACAGGUGGUCAGGUAGAGAAUACCAAGGCGCUUGAGAGAACUCGGGUGAAGGAACUAGGCAAAAUGGUGCCGUAACUUCGGGAGAAGG